CGGGCGAGUGCUCCCAGGCGAACAGACGACUCCUCAUCCGCGUUGUACGAGCAGCGGCGGCUUGUUGACGGCGUCGUGGAUCCGCUGCGAAGCUUGCGCGCGCGAUUUCUGUCUUGCGGCAAACUGGCGGGUGCAGGUCCCUCUCAUCGUCCCCAAUCGUGACCUUCCCCAUCCAGAUCGAGCUCCAUGAGGAAGGCGGCGGCUGCGCAGCUGAGGGAGGAGGAGAAACAGGCGGCGGCGGCGGAGCACAAGCUAGAUCGUUCUGGCGACGUUCCGCCGCCUCCGACCUGGACCGCUGCUUGCAGUUUGACUGCCAGUCCUGCUGCCUCGUCGUCCACUGCAGCUGCAUACUCGGAGGCUGAGUCAUGGUUGUUCCCGCUCGUGAUGCAAGCCGCCUCCACAGCAACAGCCCCGCCUCCAUGGGGUUCUUUCCACUUGCGCUCCAACCUCAUCAGCCGGCGUACACUCAAGGAUCCACCGGCGCGGCCAUAUCUCACCAAAUACAGCGUGCUGGGGUGGGGGACGGGUGUUGAUGCUAGCUCAAUCUCUCAUCCAUGGAUGGGUCCUGCAGCUUUGGAUCCGGCAACAUGAACAAAUCAAUCCCAAUUUUACCGAGUUUCUCUGUGCAGUGAAAUUUGAACUGAACUUUUUUUUUCUGAAUUUGGGUAAUGAUUAAACUGAAGAAUUCGCAUAUUCUUGCUGAUUUCUCCUGAGCAGUAGCAUUACUGGGAGCAAGUGUUUUAGUGAUUUAAACAAGACUUCUACACUUCAGUAUAACAUAGAUAUACAUAUGGCUGUUCAUGUAGACUUUUUUUUUUGUUAAGAUGUAGCAUCGGGGUAUCUUUAUUUGGCUACUGAACACAACAACUUCAAGUAUAUUAGUUCUCUAUUUAUCCUUAAAUUAACAAAUGGAAAUUGAUUUAUUCAGAACAAAGAUAAUACUUGUGAUGGUUUAAUCUCUGUCCCUAUGUUCAGUUUCAGAGUAUGGUGCCGUGGGUUUUGUCUCUGCAUGCAGUUCAGUGGUUUGCCACUGAGUCUGUCAGUUAGCUCCAGAUGAUUUAAUCAACUUUGGUUGAUGUGUUGCUCUCGAGAAGAUGGUGAAAGGAAGAAGUUGUGCAUGCCAAUGAAGUCUGAAAUUCAAGUGUGAAAGGAAGAAGUUGUGCAUG